rnacentral:rRNA from 1 species
AGGACGAACGCUGGCGGCGUGCUUAACACAUGCAAGUCGAGUGAGGCCCUUCCUUCGGGAAGGUGCCCUAGCGGCGAACGGGUGAGUAACACGUGGGCAACCUGCCCCUAGCACUGGGAUAACUCCGGGAAACCGGGGCUAAUACCGGAUAUGACCUUUGAGGGCAUCCUCGAAGGUGUAAAGGAUUCUGGCUAGGGAUGGGCCCGCGGCCUAUCAGCUUGUUGGUGGGUAACGGCCUACCAAGGCGACGACGGGUA